rnacentral:misc_RNA from 1 species
AUUUUACUUUAUUUUAAACCUAGUAACCAUAGAAUACACCCAUAAUGAUAAGAUCUGAUUUCAUAUGAAAAGUUUGAUAUUUUCAAGCUAUUUGUACUAUUUGUAUAAUGACCCUCAUUGCUUGUGAACAAGAACUCAUGAAAAAAUGAAUCAGAAAUGAAAUGAAAUAUAUUAAGUAAAUCUUUGCUUUCGACGCUUCCAUUUACUUCUCUCAUUAGCGUGAGUUCCCUUCAUCACAAACUGAAUAAGUAUGGCCACUUUCCCGAAAGCACAUAUAUAAACUUCCCUGUUAAGAAAACAUCUUUUCUAACUCACCUUCUCUUGAAUCAGCUUAUCAAA